GAUGAAGAACGUAGUGAAAUGAGAUAAGUAAUGUGAAUUGCAGAAUUCAGUGAAUCAUCGAAUCUUUGAACGCACAUUGCGCCCCUUGGUAUUCCGAGGGGCAUGCCUGUUCGAGCGUCAUUAUAACCCCUCAAGCUCAGCUUGGUGUUGGGGCCUGCUGCACUGGCAGCCCUUAAAAUCAGUGGCGGCGCCAUCUGGCUCUAAGCGUAGUAAUUCUUCUCGCUAUGGAGUCCUGGUGGAUGCUUGCCAUCAACCCCCAAUUUUUCUAUGGUUGACCUCGGAUCAGGUAGGGAUACCCGCUGAACUUAAGCAUAUCAAUAAGCGGAGGA
rnacentral:misc_RNA from 1 species